UUUCGCAAUGCCCGAAAGGGUGACGGAGCGACGCCGCGUGCGGGAAGAAGGCCUUCGGGUUGUAAACCGCUGUCGGGAGUUAAGAAAUGUAAGGAUGUUAAUAGCAUCUUUGCUUGACUAAGGCUCCGGAGGAAGCCACGGCUAACUCUGUGCCAGCAGCCGCGGUAAUACAGAGGCGGCAAGCGUUGUUCGGAAUUAUUGGGCGUAAAGAGCACGUAGGCGGCUAUGUAAGUCGGUUGUGAAAGCCUUCCGCUCAACGGGAGAACAGCAUCCGAUACUGCAUGGCUUGAGUGCGGGAGGGGAGAGUGGAACUUCUGGUGGAGCGGUGAAAUGCGUAGAUAUCAGAAGGAACGCCGGCGGCGAAAGCGGCUCUCUGGCCCAUAACUGACGCUGAGUGUGCGAAAGCUAGGGGAGCAAACGGGAUUAGAUACCCCGGUAGUCCUAGCCGUAAACGAUGGGCACUAAGUAGAGGGGUUUU
rnacentral:rRNA from 2 species